GCCUUCGUGGUGUAGUGGUCAGCACGCUCGACGCAUAUUCGAGAGGCUCGAGGUUCGAGUCUCGGUGAAGGCG
rnacentral:tRNA from 1 species